GACAGAGGGUGCAAACGUUGUUCGGAAUUACUGGGCGUAAAGCGUGUGUAGGCGGUCUUCUAAGUCGGGUGUGAAAUCCCUGGGCUCAACCCAGGAAGUGCACUCGAAACUGGAGGGCUAGAGUAUCGGAGAGGUUGGUGGAAUUCUCGGUGUAGAGGUGAAAUUCGUAGAUAUCGAGAGGAACACCGGUGGCGAAGGCGGCCAACUGGACGAAUACUGACGCUGGAGGCGACGAAAGCUGGGGGAGCGAACGGG
rnacentral:rRNA from 1 species